AACGAACGCUGGCGGCAUGCCUAACACAUGCAAGUCGAACGAAGGCUUCGGCCUUAGUGGCGCACGGGUGAGUAACGCGUGGGAAACUGCCUAUUGGUGGGGAAUAACGACGGGAAACUGUCGCUAAUACCGCAUAAGCCCUUCGGGGGAAAGAUUUAUCGCCGAUAGAUGUGCCCGCGUCCGUUUAGCUAGUUGGUGAGGUAAUGGCUCACCAAGGCGACGAUCGGUAGCUGGUCUGAGAGGAUGAUCAGCCACACUGGGACUGAGACACGGCCCAGACUCCUACGGGAGGAAGAAGUGGGGAAUAUUGGACAAUGGGCGAAAGCCUGAUCCAGCAAUGCCGCGUGAGUGAUGAAGGCCUUAGGGUUGUAAAGCUCUUUCGGGUGGGACGAUGAUGACGGUACCACCAGAAGAAGCCCCGGCUAACUUCGUGCCAGCCGCCGCCGUAA
rnacentral:rRNA from 1 species